UCCCAAAUAUUAAAAUCCCUAGCUCUCGCUCUCUCGGUACUUCCUUUUGUUAUCCCUUCUCGCACAGUCACAACGACACUUCAGCACCAGCAGGCAACAAGUAGUCACAAUCUCACCAACACAGUCAUAACCCAAAUCCCACAACAAAGCUACUCUCCUUUACCCUUCUUGUUUUACUUUUUCUCAGCUUGACAUAUCAACCUAGCCCAAGAAAGAAGUUGACUGUGCUUGAUCUUGCUUGCAUAAAACCUGAAAAAUUCGAAAACGCAAUACUUUAAACUUGAAGAAGCAGGAUAUUAUACUGCACGAAAGGGAAAAAGCUAUCGAGAGGAUAGGGUGUUGCAGUGGCUACAGGCUUUGGAUUUGCAAGUAAUCGGCGCAUGUGGAACCGAUGAAAGGUUAAAGCCUUUGUUGAAAGUCAAUUGCUCAAACGGCGUUGCUGAGGAUUGAUUGUUGGCACAUUUGAGUAAGCAUUUUGAGCCAUCGGAAGUUUGUAUACUGGCGAGGUGCUUUUGCAUACCUUUGGUUUAUAUUCGAGUGGGGAAAAUCAACAAACAAGGGAUUUGUUUCCAGCCUAAUGCUGUAAGCAGGAUACUAUACUGCACAAAAGGGAAAAAGCUAUCGAGAGGAUAGGGUGUUGCAGUGGCUACAGGCUUUGGAUUUACAAGUAAUCGGCGUAUGUUGAACCGAUUACGUGUUGCUGAGUAAUUGUUAUAACAUUUGUCUUUAGUCUUCUAAAACAAGAAAUUUGGUUAUUGGAAAUUUAUUUCGUGUUGCUGAGUAGUUGUUCGUUACUUCAAAUUUCAAGUAUUUUUACUGAAAUGUUGAUUCCUUUUUGAAGUUAUAACAUUUGGAAUGAUUUAAUCGAUUGAUAC